AUGGAGGAUGGCUCCAUGAACAACAGAGGUCGGUGGGGAAGGGGGAGGAGCCCAUCGAUGAAAGCAACAGGGACAGCGGAGAGGCUAAGGAGUGGCUUGGCCAGAGCCCAGAUCAGUAGCGGCCUCCUCUCCACACAUGCUUCCCUCCCCUUGCCACCACUAGAGGGCACCGCCGGGCAAAUUCUGGACGGCGUUGACGCUGGGGGCGCAACGGCGGCUGCUCUUGGCGGUAGAGUGGCGUGUAGGCGCCCAGUCACCGUGGAACUGGCGCAACGCGGCGAGGGCAAGUCGCAGGUGAGCGACGCGGACGCACAACGGGCUCGGAUGUUGUGGAUCUGGUGUCGAGCGGUCGUGCAGUGGCAUGGGGUGGAGCUGCAGCUUGGGUUGCGCGGCUCGGUGGUCCGGCCCGGCAAGGAAGAGUGCCGCCAUGCUGCGGGUAAAACGGAUUUGAUUUGCAUUGGUUGCGGUGGCGUGCAUGGGGCGCACCGGCCAUUUAGAUGUUUGGUUACAACCUGGAUCCAUGGUGGUUCUUGGCUUUGA
rnacentral:rRNA from 1 species